rnacentral:piRNA from 2 species
ACUGAUCUUCCAGAGGUCCUGAGU